UACGAAGGGGGCUAGCGUUGUUCGGAAUCACUGGGCGUAAAGCGCACGUAGGCGGAUCUUUAAGUCAGGGGUGAAAUCCCGAGGCUCAACCUCGGAACUGCCUUUGAUACUGGGGAUCUCGAGUCCGGGAGAGGUGAGUGGAACUGCGAGUGUAGAGGUGAAAUUCGUAGAUAUUCGCAAGAACACCAGUGGCGAAGGCGGCUCACUGGCCCGGAACUGUCGCUGAGGUGCGAAAGCGUGGGGAGCAAACAGG
rnacentral:rRNA from 1 species